AUUGAACGCUGGCGGCAUGCUUUACACAUGCAAGUCGAACGGCAGCGCGGGCUUCGGCCUGGCGGCGAGUGGUGAACGGGUGAGUAAUGCAUCGGAACGUGCCCAGUAGUGGGGGAUAGCCCGGCGAAAGCCGGAUUAAUACCGCAUACGACCUGAGGGUGAAAGCGGGGGACCGAAAGGCCUCGCGCUAUUGGAGCGGCCGAUGUCGGAUUAGCUAGUUGGUGGGGUAAAGGCUUACCAAGGCGACGAUCCGUAGCUGGUCUGAGAGGACGACCAGCCACACUGGGACUGAGACACGGCCCAGACUCCUACGGGAGGCAGCAGUUGGGAAUUUUUGACAAUGGGGGCAACCCUGAUCCAGCCAUGCCGCGUGCGGGAAGAAGGCCUUCGGGUUGUAAACCGCUUUUGUUCGGGAAGAAAUCCUCUGGGCUAAUACCCCGGGGGGAUGACGGUACCGGAAGAAUAAGCACCGGCUAACUACGUG
rnacentral:rRNA from 1 species